GGAGUCUGGGCCGUGUCUCAGUCCCAAUGCGGCCGAUCAACCUCUCAGUUCGGCUACAGAUCGUCGCCUUGGUGAGCCGUUACCUCACCAACUAGCUAAUCUGACGCGAGUCCAUCAAUAAGCGAUAAAAUCUUUCAAAUAGCUAUCAUGCGAUUGCUAUUCAAUAUGCGGUAUUAGUCCUCGUUUCCAAGGAUUAUCCCCCUCUUAUCGGCAGGUUACUCACGCGUUACUCGCCCGUCCGCCACUUUCCUCUUAAAAGUUCACUCCGAAGAGAUCACACAUAAGAUUCUCGUUCGACUUGCAUGUGUUAGGCACGCCGCCAGCGUUCGUCCUCGAGCCGACUGAGUCAAACUA
rnacentral:rRNA from 1 species